rnacentral:lncRNA from 1 species
GGUUAUCUAUGAAGAUCUUCCAUCGAACUUAUGUGCUAUUCGAGAUUAUGUGGAGAAGAGGGAAGGAGAUAACUCCUUAGCGAAUGAUUCUGUAGAAACAACUAAUCACACACAAUCAUCAGAUGAUCUCACACAAUCAUCAGAUGAAUUAGGUGCCUCAUCAAGCAGUGACAAUGAAGAUCUUGUAGAUUCGGAAACUCCAAAUUCAUUUAAACAAAGACCCAGGGUUCCAGGCUUGCAAACAAACAUAGAAGUUCUUAAAGCUGAGCUCCUAGAAUUUAUUUCCAA